rnacentral:rRNA from 1 species
AACGAAUGCUGGCGGCGUGCUUAACACAUGCAAGUCGAACGCGAAAGUCCUUCGGGGCGAGUAGAGUGGCGCACGGGUGAGUAAUGAAUAGGAACGUACCUUUUGGUGGGGAAUAACUUCGGGAAACCGGAGCUAAUACCGCAUAAGGAUGUAAAUCGAAAGAGGGCCUCUCCUUGGAAGCUCUCGCCAAUAGAUCGGCCUAUUUCCCAUUAGCUAGUUGGUAGGGUAAAGGCUUACCAAGGCGACGAUGGGUAGCUGGUCUGAGAGGAUGAUCAGCCACACUGGAACUGAGACACGGUCCAG